rnacentral:rRNA from 1 species
AUUGAACGCUGGCGGCAGGCUUAACACAUGCAAGUCGAGCGAGCGGCGGACGGGUGAGUAAUGUCUGGGAAACUGCCUGAUGGAGGGGGAUAACUACUGGAAACGGUAGCUAAUACCGCAUCCCAUCAGAUGUGCCCAGAUGGGAUUAGCUAGUAGGUGGGGUAAUGGCUCACCUAGGCGACGAUCCCUAGCUGGUUUGAGAGGAUGACCAGCCACACUGGAACUAAGACACGGUCCAGACGCCUACGUGAGGCAGCAGGGGGGAAUAUUGCACAAGGGGCGCAAGCCUGAUGCGGCCAUGCCGCGUGUGUGAAGAGGGCCUUCGGGUUGGAGAGCACUUGCAGCGAGGAGGCGUUACUCGCAGAAGAAGCACCGGCUAAGUCCGUGCCAGCAGCGGCGGUAAUUG